rnacentral:lncRNA from 1 species
GUGGGAACCCACUUACCUGAUCAGCUUCUGGAGGAUACUGCUGGGGUCUGGAAGUAUUUGUCUCUGCUCAGAGGGGACCACAAGUCCUUGUUCGCAUCCCUCUCUUUUUCCCUCCCUCCCUCCCUCUUCUCUCCAUUCUUUAUUUCCUUCUAUAAACAUUUAUUAAGACUCUACUAACAUGCACCAUGUCAGUCAGGAGAUGUAGGCUGUGGUGCGGUAACAAACAUUCCCCCAAUUUUAGUGGCAUAAGGUCGCGAGGCGUAUUUCUCACUCAAGUUUCUUGUUAUUGCAGGUCGUCCUGGGGCUCUGCUCUAUGUCAUGCUCACUUUGGGAAGCAGGCUGGUGGAGCAGCCACCAUCUUGUAUGUUCCUGUCAUAUGUAUCUCCUCUUAAAGCUUCCACUCAGAAAUAACAUGUCACUUCUAUUUCAUGGGCCAAAGCAAGUCACAUGGCCACAUCAGCCUCCAGGGGGCAGGAAAGUGUCACAUUACCAUGCGCCCCAAAGGGGAGAGAAAAGGAAUAUUUGUGAGUGCCCCUGAGGACUAUCUCACAGGCACUGCCUCGGUCCUGGAGCAUGACAGUGAAAGGGACGUGGUCUUUUCUCUGCCUGAGUCCAUGGUCUAGUGCAAGAGGCAGGUGGAAGAGGCUGAUGCAGUCAGUGGUGAUCCAGGGGGCUCAGCGCCAGGAAAGGGGUCUUCUUGGAACUCGCAGGAGGCAAGGUGGUAUGGGGUCUGGCGUCAAAGAGUCUGACCCCUUGGGGCUCUUUGAUUGUAGGCAGGUAAAUUCAUUUCUCUGCGCUUCAGUUUCUUCCUCCUUCCUUCCGGGGUGAAGACGGUGACACAGUAACACCCUCCACGCAGAGUGGUUGUCAGAAAUGCAUGAGCUGCGUGUGAUGGCCGGCACCCCAGCCCCCACACUGAGGAAGCUGAACGGACACACUGAAAAUGGCCCAGCUCAAAGAGUGAAGCAGGAUAUGCCUCAAUCAACCCAUCCAUCCCCUGAAGCUGCGCUUGGAACCUCCUUGAGGAUGGUGGCUGCUAAGUGGCUCUUCAGAGCCUCCCCAGGCAUCUGGCAGAUGGAGGAAGAGCCCAGAAAGGCCUCCUGCUCUGCUUGGAGGAGGUGCUCACUGGCCACCUUCCUGCCACAUUUCAACUGUCAAUCUCAACAUUCUUAGGCCUCAUUCUCCUUCUCCAGGCCCAGUGGAGAAUGAUCCACCUCAGUGUCCCAAAUGCCAGGCCUGGGCAAGGGAGUGGGAAAUCCUUUGAAAUUCCCAGUAAAUAAAUAAAAAUAACUUUGAGGGCUUGUCACUAUGGAGACCAACAGCUUGGUUAGUCGUCAUGGAGACCCUGGGAAAGGCUCUCUGCCUGAAAUGAUCAGCAUCAUUGAGAAAGGAGGGCCAAGAGAUGGAGAAACAGG